GAGCAGAAGUAUGGAAAUGGGAAUGGGGAACUGUAUCCACCCACAGAAUUGUCAACAGGAUACGCAAUUCUAGAUCUACAAAAGAAAAAAUGGACAAGGCAAAUCAGAAAGCAAGGUAUUGAAUGAAGGUUCUCAUAAACCUUGAGAAGAAGUGGGGCCAGAAGGAAGCAUUUUUCUUUCAACAGAAUGAUACAUUACUCCAAGUGUGGAGGACUAGAAUCCAGAAGAAGACUAAGUAAGCCAG